rnacentral:tRNA from 1 species
GGAGAGAUGUCUGAGUGGUCGAAAGAGCGUCCCUGGAAAGGACGUAGGCUCGUAAGGGUCUCAAGGGUUCGAAUCCCUUUCUCUCCG